GGAUACAGCUCAGUGUCACAAAGCAUGUGCCUGGAAAACACAAGGUCUUGAGUUCAAUUCCCAGUAUCCA
rnacentral:tRNA from 1 species